GAGAAAGAUCUGUUGUGUAAGCUUCGAAAUCACUUCAAUUGAUUUCUCUAUCAUGAAAAAUGGCAGGGAGAGGAAGAAUGAAACAGGCAAGGGUGGGUCUAUGUUCUGUUGUUAAGUGAACCUCAAUUGCCAGCCCAGCGGACUACGGCAGGUCCCGUGAGAGGGACAAAAGGGAAAUUUGAGGGAAUAAAAGUGAAAUAAGAGAACCCUCUUAUCCUCCGCACCCCUUCUAUUUUUCUGUCUGUCUCUCUCCCUCCCUCUCAUUGCAGUAGUCUACUCUCUGUUCUCCCCAUUUUCUUUUUGGGACCGCUUAACCCAGCAUUUCAUUACAACCAAAAAAGACAACCUCCAGUGAUGACCGUUAAUGCCCGUUGGGGCAUGCUUCUGAUUUCUCCUUAACUCCAUCUACUCCUGAUGUUGUUUUAUUAUCUUCAUCAUCACCACCACUGCCUAGACUCUUUGUCAUGGUCGGAUCCGCUUGGAUUUGGUUUUUUCUUGAUGAAAAUUAAGUACCCAUUAGCAUUUUGCUGGUCUAAUUCUCAAAUUCAUUCUCAAUCAGAUCUGGGUCUUUUAAAAGAUAUUUAUUGCGGGGAAAAAGUAUCUUCUUUUUGAGCAGUUGGAUUGAUUCCACCUCCAGUGUUGAAUACAUGAAAGCCGAAGCUGUCAGAUGUGGUUCAAUUAUGUGAAAAAAUUCAUCAAUGUGGUCUAAUUUGGAUAUUGUUUGAUGGAUGUAUAUGAAUCACAGAAGCGCACAGCCGUGGAUAAACCAAGAGCUCCCUUGGUUCCAGCUGAAGGGAACAGCAAUGCAGCAGCUACAGCCCGCCGCCCUCGAACGAGGGAAGUUAGUUCUAGGUGCAAAUCGCCAACUCCUUCUGUUUCUAGGCGUUGUGUAUCACCAAGCCUAUCGAGAACACUGCCUACAACUUCCCAAGUGGUGUCCAAAAGAGCCAAAUCAGCCGAGAGGAGGCGCCCUUCAACUCCACCAUCAACCUCAAGCCCCUCUACACCUGUUCAUGAUUCAUCUGUUGAUAUGCAGUUGCCAUCUAGAAGGCUAAGUACUGGGAACCGGUUACCAGAAAGUUUAUGGCCUUCUACAAUGAGAAGUCUUAGUGUUUCCUUUCAAUCGGAUUCUAUUUCCAUUCCUAUCAGCAAGAAGGAAAAACCAGUCAGUAACAUUUCUUCUGAUCGUACCUUGCGGUCAUCUUCAAAUGUGGCUCAUAAACAGGCCGAAGCACCUGCCGGAUCACGGAAGCCUACACCACAAAGAAAGAGGAGUCCUCUUAAAGGGAAGAAUGUACGGGAUCAGUCAGAGAAUGCUAAACCGAUAAAUGGUUUGCAUACUAAAUUGAUUGAUCAGCAUCGAUGGGCUAGCAGGUUAGGUGGGAAGGUAUCUUCCAAUUCAUUGAAUAAAAGUGUAGAUCUCACUGAUAAGACUGUGAAAGCUUUAUUUAAACCAAUUGGAAUUGGUUUAUCUUCACUCAGGAAAAUGUCUGUGCAUGGUAGUAAUAUUAAACCUCUACAAAAAUCAGCUAGUGAUGCUGCAAAAUUAUCAUGUCUAGAAGAUAGUGGCAGGAUAAGGUCUGGGGCAAAUUCUGCAGAUGAUGAUUCCCUACAGGUAUCCGGAGUUCAUAAGCUUGUUUCAGCAAAUUUAUCAAAUAGAAUGUCUUUAGUAAUUCCUGCAGUUAGAUCACAGUCCUUGCCUACUCAUGGAUCAUGCCCUCCAUCACCAAGUAGGACCUCCGUUAGUAGAGGUGUCAGUCCAGCUUGCGCAAGACCAUCCACUCCUCCUUCUAGAGGUGUCAGCCCUUCUCGGACAAGGCCAUCAGGUGUCUCUAGUCAAUCCAAUAGUUCUACUUCAGUGCUUAGUUUUAUAGUGGAUUUUAAGAAAGGCAAAAAAGGUGCAAGCAUUGAAGAAGCUCAUCAGAUACGGUUGUUAUACAAUAGAUAUUUGCAGUGGCGAUUUGCUAAUGCCAGGGCAGAGGCUGUUCUUUAUUUUCAGAAAGUAAAUUCAGCGAAAACUCUGUACAAUGUUUGGAAGAGUACAUUAGCUCUGUGGGAGUCAGUAAGCAGCAAAAGAAUCAAUCUCCAACAGCUGAAGCUAGAGCUUAAACUGAAUGCUGUUUUGAAUGAUCAAAUGGCCUACCUAGACGAUUGGGCUUCACUUGAAAGAGAUCAUUUGAAUUCAUUAUCCGGGGCUUUGGAAGAUUUGGAGGCAACCACUCUUCGUCUUCCGGUGACUGGAGGGGCAAAGGCAGAUAUAGAUUCCUUGAAGGUUGCUAUUUGCUCAGCUGUCGAUAUGAUGCAGGCAGUGGGAUCCUCCAUAUGUUCUUUACUUUCAAGGUAUAGGUGGAGGGGAUGAAUGAAUUGGUUUCUGAGCUUGCUGUCAUAGCAGCAGAAGAGAAAGCUCUGCUUGAUGAAUGUGAAGCUUUAUUGGCUUCAACAGCAGCUUUACAGUUAGAGGAGUACAGCAUUAGAACACAUCUCAUACAGGUGAAAACGUGCUCUUGAGAAUCAAAAAAAUCUUGGUGAUGAGAACCCCUCUAUGGCCUGAUCAACUGCUAUGCUAAUCUUUACCAGUUACCACUUGAGAGAUAAAUCAAUAGCCUAUGAUCUCAGUAAAUGUAAAUUAUUAUUAUUUUUUUUAAUGUUUUAAAUUUAUUUUUUUUUCUUUUAUGCUUUAGUGGGAAAUUUCAUUUGGGUUAAUUCUUCUCUUCCUUUUUUCAAUAGUGAGCUGUUGGCUCCAGUGUCUCCACUUGUAAUUUUUUUUUUGGUAUCUCUCAAAAGAAAGAAAAAUGAAAGGGUAACAAAGGGAUUGGAAAUUCAAUGUGAGAGCAGUUUUUGAGGGAAAAAGGGAAAAAAAUGAAAAAGAAAAAAAAGAAAGGUAGUAGUUCAAUUCAA